rnacentral:lncRNA from 1 species
GAAGAAACCUGGAGAACAUGAGGAAAACAAACCAAACCAAUGAAACCAAGCUCCAGCUGCAAACAGCUUCAGGACAUGGCUGGUGGAAAACUCCUCAACCCUGCCAGACCACCCUGGGACAUUUUGCUGGGCAGCCACACCAAGAAAAGGGGGCCGUGGUUGGGGUUUGACAAUAGAGCCUGCAUUGGCUGCUACAUGAGAUGUUGCCAAGAAAAACCCAAGGCCCCUUCGUGUCUCUGUAAUAGAAGAGAUCCUGCUGGUCAGCAGAAAUGAGACUGGGAAGCACUGGCUCAGGGCCCCAGCACAACAGCCCUGCUCUAUAAGCCGAGUCCUCUGACAUAGGGAUUUUAUUGAAAUAGCCUUCUUGGAUGGUAAUGGCACUAAAAGGGGGAAGAGUAACAUCUCCUAGCAGCAGAAGCAGAGAGCACAUUGCCUGGGUUCUGCUGCAGCAGCUGCAGACCACAGGCUGGAGGGACCUUCUGUGCAGCCACAGGCUGUGGGCCCUGGGCAAGGCUCCACCAGCCAUCUCCAAGAAGGGAUUGUUCAUAAGGCUCUGGGUGCAGCUUUCUGCUAAACUCUGCCUCCUCUGUCAAUAAAAAUCAAUGUGUGUCCUACA